AAGCGGCAAAAGCUCAAAUUUGAAAUCUGCGUAAGCCGAGUUGUAAUUUGAAGAUGGCUACUUUGGUAAUGGCUCUUGUCUAUGUUCCUUGGAACAGGACGUCACAGAGGGUGAGAAUCCCGUGCGAUGAGAUGUCCAUUACCGUGUAAAGUGCUUUCGAAGAGUCGAGUUGUUUGGGAAUGCAGCUCUAAGUGGGUGGUAAAUUCCAUCUAAAGCUAAAUAUUGGCGAGAGACCGAUAGCGAACAAGUACAGUGAUGGAAAGAUGAAAAGAACUUUGAAAAGAGAGUGAAAAAGUACGUGAAAUUGUUGAAAGGGAAGGGCUUGAGAUCAGACUUGGUAUUUUGUAUGGCUUGCUUUCGGGCGGGUCCUCUGCAGUUUACUGGGCCAGCAUCGGUUUGGGUGGCAGGAUAAUAGCAUUGGAAUGUGGCUCUACUUCGGUGGAGUGUUAUAGCCUUUGUUGAUACUGCCUGCCUAGACCGACAACUGCGUCUUUUGACUAGGAUGCUGGCAUAAUGAUCCUAAGCCGCCCGUCUUGACC
rnacentral:rRNA from 1 species